UACAGAGGUCCCAAGCGUUUGUUCGGAUUCACUGGGCGUAAAGGGUGCGUAGGCGGUCGGGUAAGUCUGAUGUGAAAUCUCACAGCUUAACUGUGAAACUGCAUUGGAUACUAUUCGGCUUGAGAGUUGGAGGGGGGACUGGAAUUCUUGGUGUAGCAGUGAAAUGCGUAGAUAUCAAGAGGAACACCAGUGGCGAAGGCGAGUCCCUGGACAACUUCUGACGCUGAGGCACGAAAGCUAGGGGAGCAAACAGG
rnacentral:rRNA from 1 species